GCCCCCUUAGCUCAGUUGGCCAGAGCAUCUGUCUUGUAAACAGAGGGUCGCCGGUUCGAAUCCGGCAGGGGGCUCCA
rnacentral:tRNA from 4 species